AUCGCAGAUUGAUAUCAGCUGGUUCUCUUCAUUGCCUCCUCCAGAAUCUCCAGUUCCCUGAUACACAACUCAUGUGAUGUCAACUAAAAUUUGCUAUCAUUUUCUGGGCUCUGUUGAGUAACCAGCCUCACUUUUUGAUGAGAACCAAGAAACCUGAGCAUUGUAUAAAAAUAAAAUAUAAAUUCCACUGAAAUACAAGCAAGUUAUCCUUCAUUCACAGGCUUAAUUUGCUUUGGAGAAGUGAAUGGGUUAAAGUCAAGACUGAAUAACCUGGAAUGCAUCUUUUUGAAGGAAAUGGAGCUGUGCAUGUGGAGGAGAAUGAAAAUAAGGGGAAGUUACAAG